AUUGAACGCUGGCGGCAGGCCUAACACAUGCAAGUCGAGCGAGCGGCGGACGGGUGAGUAAUUUAUGGGGAACUGCCUGCUAGAGGGGGAUAACUACUGGCAACGGUGGCUAAUACCGCAUAAUCUCGGCUGCACACAUAUGGGAUUAGCUAGUAGGUGGGGUAAAGGCUCACCUAGGCGCCGAUCGCUAGCUGGUCUGAGAGGAUGAACAGCCACACUGUGACUGAGACACGGCCCAGACUCCGACGGGAGGCAGCAGUGGGGAAUAUUGCACAAUGGGCGCAAGCCUGAUGCAGCCAUGCCGCGUGUAUGAAGAAGGCCUUAGGGUUGUAAAGUACUUUCAGCUUGGAGGCGUUACCCGCAGAAGAAGCACCGGCUAACUCCGUGCCAGCAGCCGCGGUAAUUC
rnacentral:rRNA from 1 species